GGAUAACAUACCGAAAGGUAUGCUAAUACGGGAUAAUAUAUCUGAGAGGCAUCUCUUGAAUAUCAAAGGUGAGCCAGUACAGGAUGACCCGCGUCUGAUUAGCUAGUUGGUAAGGUAACGGCUUACCAAGGCGACGAUCAGUAGCCGACCUGAGAGGGUGAUCGGCCACAUUGGAACUGAGACACGGUCCAAACUCCUACGGGAGGCAGCAGUGGGGAAUAUUGCACAAUGGGCGAAAGCCUGAUGCAGCAACGCCGCGUGAGUGAUGAAGGCCUUCGGGUCGUAAAACUCUGUCCUCAAGGAAGAUAAUGACGGUACUUGAGGAGGAAGCCCCGGCUAACUACGUGCCAGCAGCCGCGGUAAUACGUAGGGGGCUAGCGUUAUCCGGAUUUACUGGGCGUAAAGGGUGCGUAGGCGGUCUUUCAAGUCAGGAGUGAAAGGCUACGGCUCAACCGUAGUAAGCUCUUGAAACUGGGAGACUUGAGUGCAGGAGAGGAGAGUGGAAUUCCUAGUGUAGCGGUGAAAUGCGUAGAUAUUAGGAGGAACACCAGUUGCGAAGGCGGCUCUCUGGACUGUAACUGACGCUGAGGCACGAAAGCGUGGGGAGCAAACAGGAUUAGAUACCCUGGUAGUCCACGCUGUAGACGAUGAGUACUAGGUGUCGGGGGUUACCCCCUUCGGUGCCGCAG
rnacentral:rRNA from 1 species